rnacentral:rRNA from 1 species
UACGGAGGGGGCAAGCGUUGUUCGGAAUUACUGGGCGUAAAGGGCGCGCAGGCGGCUGCUCAAGUCAGGCGUGAAAGGCCUGGGCUCAACCCGGGAAUUGCGCUUGAGACUGGGCUGGCUUGAGUGCGGGAGAGGAUGGUGGAAUUCCCAGUGUAGAGGUGAAAUUCGUAGAUAUUGGGAAGAACACCGAUGGCGAAGGCGGCCAUCUGGACCGCAACUGACGCUGAGGCGCGAAAGCGUGGGGAGCAAACAGG